GAUGAAGAACGUAGCGAAAUGCGAUAAGUAGUGUGAAUUGCAGAAUUCAGUGAAUCAUCGAAUCUUUGAACGCACAUUGCGCCCGCCAGCAUUCUGGCGGGCAUGCCUGUUCGAGCGUCAUUUCAACCCUCGACGUCCCCUGGGACGUCGGCCUUGGGGACCGGCAGCACCCCGCCGGCCCUGAAAUGGAGUGGCGGCCCGUCCGCGGCGACCUCUGCGCAGUACAACCACUCGCACCGGGAACCCGACGCGGCCCGCCGUGAAACCCCCAACCUCUGAACGUUGACCUCGGAUCAGGUAGGACUACCCGCUGAACUUAAGCAUAUCAAUAAGCGGAGGA
rnacentral:misc_RNA from 1 species